GCGCUCGUGGCUCAGUGGUUAGAGCACGUGUCUUAUAAACACGAGGUCGAUGGUUCGAUUCCAUCCGAGCGCA
rnacentral:tRNA from 5 species